CGCGGGGUGGAGCAGUGGUAGCUCGUCGGGCUCAUAACCCGAAGGUCG
rnacentral:tRNA from 1 species